UGGGGAAUAUUGCACAAUGGGCGAAAGCCUGAUGCAGCAACGCCGCGUGAGUGAUGAAGGCCUUCGGGUUGUAAAGCUCUGUCUUUUGGGACGAUAAUGACGGUACCAAAGGAGGAAGCCACGGCUAACUACGUGCCAGCAGCCGCGGUAAUACGUAGGUGGCAAGCGUUGUCCGGAUUUACUGGGCGUAAAGGAUGCGUAGGCGGAUUUUUAAGUGAGAUGUGAAAACCCUAAGCUUAACUUGGGGACUGCAUUUCAUACUGGAAAUCUAGAGUGCGGGAGAGGAGAAUGGAAUUCCUAGUGUAGCGGUGAAAUGCGUAGAGAUUAGGAAGAACACCAGUGGCGAAGGCGAUUCUCUGGACCGUAACUGACGCUGAGGCAUGAAAAGCGUGGGUAGCAAAACAGGAUUAGAUACCCUGGUAGUCCACGCCGUAAACGAUGAGUACUAGGUGUAGGAGGUAUCGACCCCUUCUGUGCCGCAGUUAACACAAUAAGUACUCCGCCUGGGAAGUACGAUCGCAAGAUUAAAAACUC
rnacentral:rRNA from 1 species